rnacentral:rRNA from 1 species
AUGAAGGNCUUCGGNUCGUAAAGUUCUGUUGUGAGGGAAGAACAAGGACCGUGCGAACAGANCGGUCCCUUGACGGUACCUCACGAGGAAGCCCCGGCUAACUACGUGCCAGCAGCCGCGGUAAUACGUAGGGGGCAAGCGUUGUCCGGAAUUAUUGGGCGUAAAGGGCACGCAGGCGGUUCCUUAAGUCUGAUGUGAAAGCCCGUGGCUCAACCACGGANGGCCAUUGGAAACUGGGGAACUUGAGAACUGAAGAGGAGAGUGGAAUUCCACGUGUAGCGGUGAAAUGCGUAGAUAUGUGGAGGAACACCAGUGGCGAAGGCGACUCUCUGGUCGGUUUCUGACGCUGAGGUGCGAAAGCGUGGGUAGCAAACAGGAUUAGAUACCCUGGUAGUCCACGCCGUAAACGNUGAGUGCUAGGUGUUAGGGGGCUUCCACCCCUUAGUGCUGAAGUUAACGCAUUAAGCACUCCGCCUGGGGAGUACGGCCGCANGG